rnacentral:rRNA from 1 species
GACCGAUAGUGAACCAGUACCGUGAGGGAAAGGCGAAAAGAACCCCGGCGAGGGGAGUGAAAAAGAACCUGAAACCGUGUACGUACAAGCAGUGGGAGCCUCUUUAUGGGGUGACUGCGUACCUUUUGUAUAAUGGGUCAGCGACUUAUAUUCUGUAGCAAGGUUAACCGUAUAGGGGAGCCGAAGGGAAACCGAGUCUUAACUGGGCG